rnacentral:rRNA from 1 species
UUCCGGUUGAUCCUGCCGGAGGUCACUGCUAUUGGGAUUCGACUAAGCCAUGCGAGUCGAGAGGGUUCGGCCUUCGGCAGACGGCUCAGUAACACGUGGAUAAUCUGCCCUUAGGUGGAGGAUAACCUCGGGAAACUGAGAAUAAUACUCCAUAGAUCUAGGAUGCUGGAAUGCACUUAGAUUGAAAGUUCCGGCGCCUAAGGAUGAGUCUGCGGACUAUCAGGUAGUAGUCAGGGUAAAGGCCCGACUAGCCUACGACGGAUACGGGUUGUGAGAGCAAUAACCCGGAGACGAUAUCUGAGACACGAUAUCGGGCCCUACGGGGCGCAGCAGGCGCGAAACCUUCACAAUGUGCGAAAGCGCGAUGAGGGGAUCCCAAGUGCUUGCUCGUAAGAGUAAGCUGUUUUUAUGUCUAAAACGCAUAGAGAGUAAGGGCUGGGUAAGACGGGUGCCAGCCGCCGCGGUAAUACCUGCAGCUCAAGUGGUGACCGCUAUUAUUGGGCCUAAAACAUUCGUAGCCGGUUUGGUAAAUGCCUGGGUAAAUCGUGUAGCUUAACUAUACGAAUUCCGGGUAGACUGCCAAACUUGAGACCGGGAGAAGCUAGAGGUACUCCUUGGGUAGAGGUGAAAUUCUGUAAUCCUAGGGGGACCACCAGUGGCGAAGGCGCCUAGCUAGAACGGGUUUGACGGUGAGGAAUGAAGCCCUGGGGCGCAAACCGGAUUAGAUACCCGGGUAGUCCAGGGUGUAAACGCUGCUUGCUUGAUGUUAGUUGGGCUCCGAGCCCAAUUAGUGUCGGAGAGAAGUUGUUAAGCAAGCUGCCUGGGAAGUACGAUCGCAAGAUUGAAACUUAAAGGAAUUGGCGGGGGAGCACAGCAACGGGUGGAGCGUGCGGUUUAAUUGGACUCAACGCCGGA